rnacentral:rRNA from 1 species
UACGUAGGGGGCUAGCGUUGUCCGGAUUUAUUGGGCGUAAAGAGCGUGUAGGCGGCCAGGUAGGUCUGGUGUGAAAACUGAGGCUUAACCUCGAGAUGUCAUCGGAAACCAUCUGGCUAGAGUCCGGAAGAGGAGAGUGGAAUUCCUGGUGUAGCGGUGAAUGCGCAGAUAUCAGGAGGAACACCGGUGGCGAAGGCGGGUCUCUGGGCCUGAGUAACUGACGCUGAGGAACGAAAGCGUGGGGAGCGAACAGGAUUAGAAC